rnacentral:rRNA from 1 species
GUGGGGAAUUUUGGACAAUGGGCGCAAGCCUGAUCCAGCAAUGCCGCGUGUGUGAAGAAGGCCUUCGGGUUGUAAAGCACUUUUGGCAGGAAAGAAAUAGUGCGUGCUAAUACCAUGCGCGAAUGACGGUACCUGCAGAAUAAGCACCGGAUAACUACGUGCCAGCAGCCGCGGUAAGACGUAGGGUGCAAGCGUUAAUCGGAAUUACUGGGCGUAAAGCGGUCGCAGGCGGUUUUGUAAGACAGGUGUGAAAUCCCCGGGCUCAACCUGGGAACUGCACUGUUGACUGCAAGGCUAGAGUGUGUCAGAGGGAGGUGGAAUUCCGCGUGUAGCAGUGAAAUGCGUAGAGAUGCGGAGGAACACCGAUGGCGAAGGCAGCCUCCUGGGAUAACACUGACGCUCAGGCACGAAAGCGUGGGGAGCAAACAGGAUUAGAUACCCGAGUAGUCC